AUGGGGCUCAGUUCUAGUAGCAAAAGAAGAUGGGAGAAUAGGCCUUGGGUAUAACUAUCAGUCUCUGCAAUAGGCGGCAAGAUGGUGUUCACAAAGGCCAACAUUUUUCAUGGCGAGAUGUCUAGAAUUUGAACUUUAGAAUGAUCCUUCUGGUCAAUUUAAAUCUGCUGUGAAGCAAGUUGCCCACCUACAGGACAUGGAAUGGAAGGACAUGGAAGAUACAAAUAGAGUCGGACAAGAAAGACUUUACCUAACUCUGGAGGAAUCAGCUUUGAGGAGACCUACAAAGGUUUUACAGAUGUGAAAAUUAAGAAACAGAGAGAAGAGACUAUUCAAAGCAGUUGAACACUGGAUAAGAGCUGGAUUUGAGUUUGACAGCCCUGAGUUCCAAUCCUGGUUCCAUCACACACUCGCUAAAUGACCUUGGCAAAGUAGUUGACUCUCUGUGAAUCUCUCUUAAGGCCAUUCAGGCUAACUAAGAUUUAGUUACCUAAGUUUUAAAAAUUAACCAUGUAGGCUGAGAGUCUACGCAUUUGAAUAUUCAUUAAAUCA